rnacentral:rRNA from 1 species
UACGGAGGAUCCAAGCGUUAUCCGGAUUUAUUGGGUUUAAAGGGUGCGUAGGCGGAAUAGUAAGUCAGUGGUGAAAGCCUGUCGCUUAACGACAGAACUGCCAUUGAUACUGCUAAUCUUGAGUAUAAUUGAAGUGGGCGGAAUGUGUCGUGUAGCGGUGAAAUGCUUAGAUAUGACACAGAACACCGAUUGCGAAGGCAGCUCACUAAACUAUAACUGACGCUGAGGCACGAAAGCGUGGGGAUCGAACAGG